rnacentral:rRNA from 1 species
ACGGGUGAGUAAUGCCUAGGAAUCUGCCUGGUAGUGGGGGAUAACGCUCGGAAACGGACGCUAAUACCGCAUACGUCCUACGGGAGAAAGCAGGGGACCUUCGGGCCUUGCGCUAUCAGAUGAGCCUAGGUCGGAUUAGCUAGUUGGUGAGGUAAUGGCUCACCAAGGCGACGAUCCGUAACUGGUCUGAGAGGAUGAUCAGUCACACUGGAACUGAGACACGGUCCAGACUCCUACGGGAGGCAGCAGUGGGGAAUAUUGGACAAUGGGCGAAAGCCUGAUCCAGCCAUGCCGCGUGUGUGAAGAAGGUCUUCGGAUUGUAAAGCACUUUAAGUUGGGAGGAAGGGCAUUAACCUAAUACGUUGGUGUCUUGACGUUACCGACAGAAUAAGCACCGGCUAACUCUGUGCCAGCAGCCGCGGUAAUACAGAGGGUGCAAGCGUUAAUCGGAAUUACUGGGCGUAAAGCGCGCGUAGGUGGUUCGUUAAGUUGGAUGUGAAAUCCCCGGGCUCAACCU